CUCGUAGGCGGCCAACUAAGUCAGACGUGAAAUCCCUCGGCUUAACCGGGGAACUGCGUCUGAGACUGGAUGGCUUGAAUCCGGGAGAGGGAUGCGGAAUUCCAGGUGUAGCGGUGAAAUGCGUAGAUAUCUGGAGGAACACCGGUGGCGAAGGCGGCAUCCUGGACCGGCAUUGACGCUGAGGAGCGAAAGCCAGGGGAGCAAACGGGAUUAGAUACCCCGGUAGUCCUGGCCCUAAACGAUGAAUGCUUGGUGUGGCGGGUAUCGAUCCCUGCCGUGCCGAAGCUAACGCAUUAAGCAUUCCGCCUGGGGAGUACGGUCGCAAGACUGAA
rnacentral:rRNA from 1 species